rnacentral:lncRNA from 1 species
CAGUGUUGGCAUUAACCUGUCAAAUGUUCAUGUCCUUCUCGUGCUGCAGGAGGAGACGUGGUGAGCCAGUUUGAAUUUAAUUUGAACUACCUUGCUCGGCGCUGGUAUGUACCUGUCAAAGAUCUUGUGGGGAUCUACGAGAAACUCUAUGGCCAGAAAGUCAUUACUGAAAAUGUCAUUGUUGACUGUUCCUACCUUCAGUUCUUGGAAAUGUAUGGAGAGAUGUUAGCUGUUUCCAAGCUGUAUUCCACCUACUCCACAAAGUCCCCGUUUUUGGUGGAACAUUUCCAAGAGUAUUUCCUUGGAGGACUGGAUGAUAUGGCGUUCUGGUCCACCAAUAUCUACCGCCUGACGAGCUUCAUGCUAGAGAAUGGUACCAGGUGAAUUUAGCAUGCUAUUUCUCACACCAAUCCUCUUUGUCUUUCUGCCCUGUUC